AGUGUGCAUAUGUUCUUAUCAUGCACUGGUAGCAGUUGAAGCUGCCAGCAUGAUCUUAUAACUCCCUACUUCGUUUAGGGAAGCUCAGAUCAUCUGGCAGUUUCACCUGUUGUUGGUAGCAUGAGACCAUCAAAACCCU